AGAUGUGUAUAAGAGACAGGUGCUGAGCUUCGGCGAAGGUACGAAUUGAAGCCCCAGUAAACGGCGGCCGUAACUAUAAAGGUCCUAAGGUAGCGAAAUUCCUUGUCGGGUAAGUUCCGACCCGCACGAAAGGCGCAACGAUCUGGGCACUGUCUCAACGAGAG
rnacentral:rRNA from 1 species